rnacentral:rRNA from 1 species
GAUGAACGCUGGCGGCGUGCCUAAUACAUGCAAGUCGAGCGAACAGACGAGGAGCUUGCUCCUCUGACGUUAGCGGCGGACGGGUGAGUAACACGUGGAUAUCCUACCUAUAAGACUGGGAUAACUUCGGGAAACCGGAGCUAAUACCGGAUAAUAUAUUGAACCGCAUGGUUCAAUAGUGAAAGACGGUUUUGCUGUCACUUAUAGAUGGAUCCGCGCCGCAUUAGCUAGUUGGUAAGGUAACGGCUUACCAAGGCAACGAUGCGUAGCCGGCCUGAGAGGGUGAUCGGCCACACUGGAACUGAGACACGGUCCAGACUCCUACGGGAGGCAGAAGUAGGGAAUCUUCCGCAAUGGGCGAAAGCUUGACGGAGCAACGCCGCGUGAGUGAUGAAGGUCUUCGGAUCGUAAAACUCUGUUAUUAGGGAAGAACAAAUGUGUAAGUAACUAUGCACGUCUUGACGGUACCUAAUCAGAAAGCCACGGCUAACUACGU